rnacentral:rRNA from 1 species
UUUGACGUUACCUACAGAAGAAGCACCGGCUAACUCCGUGCCAGCAGCCGCGGUAAUACGGAGGGUGCGAGCGUUAAUCGGAAUUACUGGGCGUAAAGCGCAUGCAGGCGGCCUGUUAAGUCAGAUGUGAAAGCCCGGGGCGUUAACCUCGGAAUUGCAUUUGAAACUGGCAGGCUAGAGUCUUGUAGAGGGGGGUAGGAAUUUCAGGUGUAGCGGUGAAAUGCGUAGAGAUCUGAAGGAAUACCAGUGGCGAAGGCGGCCCCCUGGACAAAGACUGACGCUCAGAUGCGAAAGCGUGGGGAGCAAACAGGAUUAGAUACCCCUGGUAG